rnacentral:snRNA from 1 species
ACGUGGCGGGUGCGCUGGCCUACCAUCUCCCCAAGUGGGAGAGUGGACGUCAUAAUUUGUGGCAGAGGGGUACGCGUCCGCGCGGCCCUGUU